GACGAACGCUGGCGGCGUGCUUAACACAUGCAAGUCGAGCGGUAAGGCCCUUCCGGGGGUACACGAGCGGCGAACGGGUGAGUAACACGUGGGUGACCUGCCCUCAGCUCUGGGAUAAGCCUGGGAAACCGGGUCUAAUACUGGAUAUGACUCCAUGACGCAUGUUGUGGGGUGGAAAGCCUUGUGCGGCUGAGGAUGGGCCCGCGGCCUAUCAGCUUGUUGGUGGGGUGAUGGCCUACCAAGGCGACGACGGGUAGCCGGCCUGAGAGGGCGACCGGCCACACUGGGACUGAGACACGGCCCAGACUCCUACGGGAGGCAGCAGUGGGGAAUCUUGCGCAAUGGGCGAAAGCCUGACGCAGCGACGCCGCGUGAGGGAUGACGGCCU
rnacentral:rRNA from 1 species